AUGUCCUCCUAUGAGGCGGAGUAUGUUACGGCGGCCACAACUGCUAUGCAGAAAGCGUGGUCGAGCAGGCUGCUCGGUGACAUUUAUCAAAGUACUAAACCGAUAAGCGUCCAGUUGCUGCUGGACAAAAAAUUGGUGAUCGGGCUAAGCAAGAACCCUGUACAUCACAAUUGUAGCAAGCAUAUUAAUCUGAGGUACAACUUCAUUCGAGAAUGUGUUGAGAUUGGCAAGAUUGACCUCGAUUAUUUGGGUACUGAGGACCAACUUGCGGAUGCUCUCACCAAGUCCCUGGGCAGAGUUCGGCCCAUGGAGCUGUAG
rnacentral:rRNA from 1 species